rnacentral:tRNA from 1 species
GCAGUGGUGGUUAAGUGGUAGAAUUCUUGCUUUCCAUGUUGGAGACCUGGGUUUGUUUCCUGGCCAGUGCG